GACGGAGGGUGCUAGCGUUGUUCGGAAUUACUGGGCGUAAAGGGCGCGUAGGCGGCCUGUUAAGUCGAACGUGAAAUCCCCGGGCUCAACCCGGGAACUGCGUCCGAUACUGGCAGGCUUGAAUCCGGGAGAGGGAUGUGGAAUUCCAGGUGUAGCGGUGAAAUGCGUAGAUAUCUGGAGGAACACCGGUGGCGAAGGCGGCAUCCUGGACCGGUAUUGACGCUGAGGCGCGGAAGCCAGGGGAGCAAACGGG
rnacentral:rRNA from 1 species